CUUCCGCAGGUUCACCUACGGAAACCUUGUUACGACUUCUCCUUCCUUUAAAAGAUAGGAUUUACGGUUUUUCCAGAAAAAAAAAGAUAUAAUCCAAUUUUUUCUUGUCCAAACAAUUCAUCAUAUCUUUCGAUCGGUAGGAGCGACGGGCGGUGUGUACAAAGGGCAGGGACGUAGUCAGCACAAUCUGAUGAAUCAUGCUUACUAGGCAUUCCUCGUUCAAGAUUAAUAAUUGCAAUAAUCUAUCCCCAUCACGAUAUGUAUUGAUAAAGAUUACCUACACUUUUCAGUGGAGGAAAAGUACGAAAUAAACUGCAAGCAGCCAUAUCGUAAUUUUAGUAACUCGUUAUACAUAUCAGUGUAGCACGCGUGCAGCCUAGUUCAUCUAAGGACAUCACAGACCUGUUGUUGCCUUAAACUUCCUUGUGUUAGACACACAUCGUUCCUCUAAGAAGCUUUAUGUAAAAGCAAAUACAUUUCUACAUAAAAGUGAAAUGGCAUCAUAAUCCAGUUUUAUGCGGUACAGGGAAUAGAGGGUUGGAAAUAUGCAUAGGCGCCAAGUAUUAUUAGGUACAAGGUAGCAAAAUGCAUUUUUUCCGUACUCAUUAUAUGCACGGCAAAAAAACCUUUUAAAUUAUCCAAAUACAAAUUCAGCAUAGAAAUAUGUUGUAUUUGCCGCUAAUUAGCAGGUUAAGAUCUCGUUCGUUAUCGGAAUUAACCAGACAAAUCAUAUUCACGAACUAAAAACGGCCAUGCAUCACCAUCCAAGAAAUCAAGAAAGAGCUAUUAAUCUGUCAAUCCUACUCUUGUCUUAAACUAGUGAGUUUUCCCGUGUUGAGUCAAAUUAAGCCGCAAGCUCCACGCCUGGUGGUGCCCUUCCGUCAAUUCUUUUAACUUUCUCGCUUGCGCGAAUACUCGCCC
rnacentral:rRNA from 1 species